UCAGCUGAGUAUCUCUUGUCUGAGGACGGAGGACAGAAUAUCGUCAUAAGUGAUGCCUUUAUCAAGGAGUCUCUGUUUAACCGCCGGGUGGAGGAGAAGGCCAAAGAGAUCCUGUUCACGCCUCUGGGCUGGCACCACAGCUCUCUGGACCAGCUGAGGGAGGAGAACGGAGAGAAGAAGGCCAUGGAGAGGCUGCUCUCGGCCAACCACAGCCACAUGAUGGCUCUGCUGCAGCAGCUUCUCUACAGCGAGUCUCUGUCUCUAUCCUGGCGGGACAUCAUCGUGCCCGUCGUGCGGCAGGUGGUGCAGACGGUGAGACCCGACGUCCGCAACUGUGACGACGACAUGGACAUCCGCCAGCUCGUCCACAUCAAGAAG